GCACACAACUUUUUUGCAGCUCUAAAGCUUUCUGCUCUUCCAUGACCCUAAUGCUUGAAUAACUCAUAUGCAUCUCCUCUCCUUUUUUUCUCCGGUGGAAAGCUUUCUAAAAGAAAAGACAAACAUAUCCAUGAGAGACCUUUACCUCUACUUUGGUUAUGUUAUUGUCUUAUCAAUUUGUCGACUUUGUUUUGGAUUCUCGCAAGUAUACUUCUUUGUUAAUCCUUUGGAUUAAUCUAGGCUGUUAGGAUAGUAUUAUAAAUGUACAAUGUUUUAAUCUCAGUGUAGAGUGAUUGGAGAGCUUUGCAAUUUCUUGAAUUGGCUCAUCAUUUAGAGAAAUAUCAGUUGUUCUUGUAUUAUCCGGGUUUUUUUUUGCAAAUUGAUAGGGCUCAUCGUUUAGAGAAAUAUCAGUUAUUCUUGUAUUGUUCGAUUUUUUUUACGAAUUGAUAGGUAUGUUUUUUUCUAAAAUUUUGCAAAUUCUUUCAUGCCUUCAUUUUAUUUUUUAGUGUUGGGUGAAUGUGCAGAAGUUUUUGGUGGUGUAUUGCUAUGAAAGAAUCAAAGUGUCUUUGAUAAUGGAACUUACACAUAGGCACUAAACAAUAGUCUGAUUUACAAAUACUACUAGACUAAGAUCUGAAAUUCAAAUUAUUGCUAAUGUUUGAGUAAUAUUCAUUUACGGGUUGGGGAAUCAAUCGUAAAAUUAUAGUGAUGUAUGUGCAUGUCACGAGAGUUUGAACUUUGCUCUCGACUUGAAGUCGGAAAAGUAUUUAAGUGGGAUCAUAACAAAGGAGCAUGUGCAUACUCUUCAAUUUUUUCGACGAACAACUGAGAUUUGGCUAGCUAACAAACAUGGGAUCUUUUACUAUUAAAUAAAUAGUUUUUCCUUGAUGAAAAGGAUCUCUUUUAGUUUUUAAUCAUACAGCCCAGACUCUUUGAAUAUGUUGGUGGAUGAAUUCUCUAUGAUUAGAAUUUUGUUGUUUUUUCCUUGGGAGUUCAAGAAUGCUCCACUGAAGAAAGAUUUAGAAGAUAAAUUAGAUAUAACUUUUUUAUAUUGUGAUUAUUAUAUCGUUUGCACACAUUCAUACCCUGCCUCACAAGAGAUAAUUUAUCGCACAAGUAGGUGCAUCUCCAAUGGCAAUCAUAAAAUCUCUACCACAAAAUAAGGUGAGUUGAACUUUGGAUGAAAUGAUUUCCUUUGCCUAUCUUCUUUAAUUAGAAUAUUUGACGGAACCUAGGAGCAGUUCCAAAAGAAAAAAGUUCAUGUAAUAAAACUUGGUGGUUGGUAUUGAUUCUUUAAUACAUCAUAGUUUAUUUUGGCUUUAUUUGCCAUUUUGUACUGCUUCUGUAACCUUGUUACUUCAAAGUCCUGAACUUCUUCUUUUUAAAUAUUAAUAAAGCUUUAAACUUCCGUAUGUUGAAACUUUAAUGCAAGCACCUUGAUAUGCACAUCAUUAAAAAUGCAUUUAUAAUCUUAGUUACUUUAGUUCCAAACUUUCGAAUGAUAUUGCUUGGAGUUCUACUACUCGAUAUUAAAGUAAAUUUUUUUAAACUUUGAUUGCCAAGAAGAUACACAUAUAAAGCUCAAAAACUUUUAUGUCCGAUAUUUAAGAUGACCAAGUCUCAUCGCUGAAUCUGAUCUUGGGUUCAAGAAUUGUAGUAAAUGAUCCCCAUUCCAGAGUAGGUGACAAAUUAUUGUCUUUUUGGAUUACUUAACAUAACACUGGCAACUCACAUUUUCAAACAUUCAAGUUUUCAUUUUUUUAUAUUUUUCUAUGUAAGUUGAUGUACUUGAAUGCAAAAUAUUUACUAUUUCAAAUUUAUCGUGGCGUGAUUCCUUUCUUCAAUCUUACUGCUAUAGCACCAAACUGUAGUGCGUUAUGUAUUUACUUUUGCCUGAACUAAGCUAGAAAAGUGCACUAGAAAAGUUUGAGUAUAUGACAUUUCGAUUCUAUUUUAGACUUUUUAGCACGAUUCAACACUGUUUAUGCAUUUUGAAAUACUAUGUUUAUUUAAUUUUACUAUUUUAAGUGAAAUUUCUCCUUAAGCACAGUACUGCUCUUAUUGAGGAAGACGACUUACUGAAAGACAAAGCUAAUCCGUCGUUGGAUGAGGAAAAAAAGACAAGAAAGAUCUUAUAUAUUAGAUAGAAAAUAGAGUAAGAAGCAUACUAGAGUAGUAAGCGUUAACAAAACUACAAACCAAGAAAAUAUUGCAGGAAGACUAACUAUCUAAAGCUUAAAAUGACAUAAAUAAGUGAAAUCUCAUGUAAAUAGUGAGGGAUAACUGACGCUUAGAGAUAAUAGAAUAAGUGAAAUCUCAUGUAAAUAGUAAAGCAGGAUUGGUGCUUAGAGAAAUGAUCUGUCAACUAAUUUUCUGAAAGCAUAGGAAAAACUUAGAAAUGCUCAUGAAAACUGCAACAUGUCAUUGAACUACUUUAUCCUCUUUUACUAUGCUGGAAAAGAGUGUCAUUAUGAUUUGUCACUUGACACUAAUAUUUUCAUUACAUGAGUAUUUAGACCAAAUAGAUUUGUUGUUUUGUUCGUAUAUUCUACUUUACUUCUAUUAUUCUACUUUCUUACUUUUCAAUGGCUAUUCAUGAUUUUUUUUUACAAAUGUUAAAAGACAAAAUUGCAUGAAGAAGGGCAACAAAGUGUUGGGUACAUGUUUCAUGCUAAACAGAACAGUGCUCAUCGGUGUGACAAUAUUUUUUCUUGCAAUGACUUCUUUUGGAAGAUGUUUAAAUUGUUCCUCAUCAAAUUGAUGUACCCUUGUGUUGAUUGGGUGUGAAAAAAUCUAUUAUGUUUUAAGUAAAAAUAUUUAUGUGAGCAUGUUUCUAUAAUUUCAUGUCAAUAAUAUUCUGCAGUUAGCA